CUCCGUGUCAGUCGGUGCAGAAGCAGCAAGAUGCUGUGGCAGACUCAGCUCCUCUGGCUCCUUGUGCUCUGGGCAAAGGGCUCCAGCGGGGACAUCCUCAUCACACAGACUCCAGAGUCCCUGGCCAAGUCCCCAGGAGACACAGUCACCAUCAAGUGCACAGCCAGUUCCAGUGUCAGCAGCUGGAUGCACUUGUACCAGCAGAAACCAGGGCAGGCUCCUAAGCUCCUUGUCUACAGAACAAAUAACCGCCCCUCCGGGAUCCCCGACCGGUUCAGUGGCAGUGGGUCUGGCACCGACUUCACUUUCAGCAUCAGCCGGGUGGAAGAUGGUGAUGCUGGGGAUUAUUACUGUGGGCAGAGCUCAUAUAACCCUUGCACAGUGCUACAGCCCCAUGCAAAAACCUCCCUGCUCUGCUCACUUCUGCUGCUCCUGAAUCCAGCUGUUUCCUGCACAGACUCACAG